rnacentral:rRNA from 1 species
ACGGAGGAUGCAAGCGUUAUCCGGAUUUAUUGGGUUUAAAGGGUCCGCAGGCGGGAUAAUAAGUCAGGGGUGAAAUCCUACGGCUCAACUGUAGAACUGCCUUUGAUACUGUUAUCCUAGAGUGUAGUUGGGGUGGGCGGAAUAUGUCAUGUAGCGGUGAAAUGCUUAGAUAUGACAUAGAACACCGAUCGCGAAGGCAGCUCACCAAGCUAAUACUGACGCUCAGGGACGAAAGCGUGGGGAUCAAACAGGAUUAGAUACCCUGGUAGUCCACGCUGUAAACGAUGGUCACUCGAUGUUGGCGAUACACAGUCAGCGUCUGAGCGAAAGCAUUAAGUGACCCACCUGGGGAGUACGACCGCAAGGUUG